rnacentral:rRNA from 1 species
AUGGGAACGCGAAGAACCUUACCUACUCUUGACAUCCAGAGAACUUAGCAGAGAUGCUUUGGUGCCUUCGGGAACUCUGAGACAGGUGCUGCAUGGCUGUCGUCAGCUCGUGUUGUGAAAUGUUGGGUUAAGUCCCGCAACGAGCGCAACCCUUAUCCUUUGUUGCCAGCGGUCCGGCCGGGAACUCAAAGGAGACUACCAGUGAUAAACUGGAGGAAGGUGGGGAUGGACGUCAAGUCAUCAUGGCCCUUACGAGUAGGACUACACACGUGCUACAAUGGCGCAUACAAAGAGAAGCGACCUCGCGAGAGCAAGCGGACCUCAUAAAGUAUGUCGUAGUCCGGAUUGGAGUCUGCAACUCGACUCAUGAAGUCGGAAUCGCUAGUAAUCGUAGAUCAGAAUGCUACGGUGAAUACGUUCCCGGGUCUUGU